rnacentral:rRNA from 1 species
UACGUAGGAUGCGAGCGUUAUCCGGAUUUAUUGGGUUUAAAGGGUGCGUAGGCGGGCUUUUAAGUCAGCGGUAAAAAUUCGGGGCUCAACCCCGUCCGGCCGUUGAAACUGGGGGUCUUGAGUGGGCGAGAAGAAGGCGGAAUGCGUGGUGUAGCGGUGAAAUGCAUAGAUAUCACGCAGAACCCCGAUUGCGAAGGCAGCCUUCCGGCGCCCUACUGACGCUGAGGCACGAAAGUGCGGGGAUCGAACAGG